AUUGAACGCUGGCGGCAGGCCUAACACAUGCAAGUCGAGCGGAUGAAGGGAGCUUGCUCCUGGAUUCAGCGGCGGACGGGUGAGUAAUGCCUAGGAAUCUGCCUGGUAGUGGGGGAUAACGUCCGGAAACGGGCGCUAAUACCGCAUACGUCCUGAGGGAGAAAGAGGGGGAUCUUCGGACCGCACGCUAUCAGAUGAGCCUAGGUCGGAUUAGCUAGUUGGUGGGGUAAAGGCCUACCAAGGCGACGAUCCGUAACUGGUCUGAGAGGAUGAUCAGUCACCCUGGAAGUGAGACACGGUCCAGACUCCUACGGGAGGCAGCAGUGGGGAAUAUUGGACAAUGGGCGAAAGCCUGAUCCAGCCAUGCCGCGUGUGUGAAGAAGGUCUUCGGAUUGUAAAGCACUUUAAGUUGGGAGGAAGGGCAGUAAGUUAAUACCUUGCUGUUUUGACGUUACCAACAGAAUAAGCACCGGCUAACUUCGUG
rnacentral:rRNA from 1 species